CAGCAGCCGCGGGAAUACGAAGGGUGCAAGCGUUACUCGGAAUUACUGGGCGUAAAGCGUGCGUAGGUGGUGGUUUAAGUCCGUUGUGAAAGCCCUGGGCUCAACCUGGGAAUUGCAGUGGAUACUGGGUCACUAGAGUGUGGUAGAGGAUAGUGGAAUUUCCGGUGUAGCAGUGAAAUGCGUAGAGAUCGGAAGGAACAUCUGUGGCGAAGGCGACUAUCUGGGCCAACACUGACACUGAGGCACGAAAGCGUGGGGAGCAAACAGGAUUAGAUACCCGAGUAGUCCCUGUCUCUUAUAA
rnacentral:rRNA from 1 species